rnacentral:rRNA from 1 species
AACGUAGGUUCCGAGCGUUAUCCGGAUUUACUGGGCGUAAAGCGCGUUCAGGCGGUUUGGCAAGUCGGGCAUGAAAUCUCUCGGCUCAACCGGGAGAGGUUGUCCGAUACUUCCAGACUUGAGGGCAGUAGAGGGUGGUGGAAUUCCGGGUGUAGUGGUGAAAUGCGUAGAUAUCCGGAGGAACACCAGUGGCGAAGGCGACUUACUGGACACAUAUUGACGCUGAGGUGCGAAAGCGUGGGGAGCAAACAGG